rnacentral:rRNA from 1 species
CGGACGGGUGAGUAACGCGUGGGUAACCUGCCUUGUACAGGGGGAUAACAGUUGGAAACGGCUGCUAAUACCGCAUAAGCGCACGGCAUCGCAUGAUGCAGUGUGAAAAACUCCGGUGGUAUAAGAUGGACCCGCGUUGGAUUAGCUAGUUGGUGAGGUAACGGCCCACCAAGGCGACGAUCCAUAGCCGACCUGAGAGGGUGACCGGCCACAUUGGGACUGAGACACGGUCCAG